GGCUCGCGUGACAUUAGCUGGAUGGUAAGGUAACGGCUUACCAUGGCUAUGAUGUCUAGGGGUUCUGAGAGGAAGGUCCCCCACACUGGAACUGAGACACGGUCCAGACUCCUACGGGAGGCAGCAGUGAGGAAUAUUGGACAAUGGAUGGAAAUCUGAUCCAGCCAUGCCGCGUGAAGGAAGAAGGUCCUAUGGAUUGUAAACUUCUUUUGUAUGGGAGCAAUAAGGCCUACGAGUAGGUUGAUGAGAGUACCAUACGAAUAAGCACCGGCUAACUCCGUGCCAGCAGCCGCGGUAAUACGGAGGGUGCAAGCGUUAUCCGGAUUUAUUGGGUUUAAAGGGUGCGUAGGCGGUUAUUUAAGUCAGUGGUGAAAGUUUUCGGCUCAACCGGAAAAUUGCCAUUGAUACUGGGUAGCUAGAAUAUGGUUGCUGUGAGUAGAAUGUGUGGUGUAGCGGUGAAAUGCAUAGAUAUCACACAGAAUACCGAUUGCGAAGGCAUCUCACAAAGCCAUCAUUGACGCUGAGGCACGAAAGUGUGGGGAUCAAACAGGAUUAGAUACCCUGGUAGUCCACACUGUAAACGAUGAUAACUAGCUGUUGGCGAUACACAGUCAGUGGCCAAGCGAAAGCGAUAA
rnacentral:rRNA from 1 species